rnacentral:RNase_P_RNA from 1 species
UCAACAAGAAUCUUGCUUUAGGGGUUUACACACGGAGUACUUUGUUACUUAAUUAACCUCGGGAAGGUCUGAGAUAAAUUCACUAACCUUUUAGCCAGAGGCCCUCUUGAUAAAUUUGGGCAGGAGGACCAGAAAUUAGUCCAGUUCUAAAAUUUUUGGGUCUGAGACGCCAUCGGCUGAGACUAUAAUUUUAGAACUGUUGAAAUCUCCUGUGAAUCGCAUUUUUAGUUCAAUUUGCAAGGUUCUAGCUUUAUGUUAGUAUAACUCAAUUCAGACUAAUCUCUUGUUGA